rnacentral:rRNA from 1 species
AGUGAACGCUGGCGGUAGGCCUAACACAUGCAAGUCGAACGGCAGCACAGUAAGAGCUUGCCCUUACGGGUGGCGAGUGGCGGACGGGUGAGGAAUACAUCGGAAUCUACUUUUUCGUGGGGGAUAACGUAGGGAAACUUACGCUAAUACCGCAUACGACCUACGGGUGAAAGCAGGGGAUCUUCGGACCUUGCGCGAUUGAAUGAGCCGAUGUCGGAUUAGCUAGUUGGCGGGGUAAAGACCCACCAAGGCGACGAUCCGUAGCUGGUCUGAGAGGAUGAUCAGCCACACUGGAACUGAGACACGGUCCAGACUCCUACGGGAGGCAGCAGUGGGGAAUAUUGGACAAUGGGCGCAAGCCUGAUCCAGCCAUACCGCGUGGGUGAAGAAGGCCUUCGGGUUGUAAAGCCCUUUUGUUGGGAAAGAAAAGCAGCAGGUUAAUACCCCGCUGUUCUGACGGUACCCAAAGAAUAAGCACCGGCUAACUUCGUG